UGUGGGAGCGAGCUUGCUCGCGAUGGCGUCGGAUCAGCAAGCACAGUGUUGACUGAUGUAUCACUAUCGCGAGCAAGCUCGCUCCCACA
rnacentral:misc_RNA from 1 species